AUGAACAAUGAGCUUCUGAAACCAUACUCUACGGAGGAGGUGAAAAAGGCUUUAUUCUCUAUAGGUGACACAAAAGCACCAGGUGCGGAUGGAUUGCAUGCCCUGUUCUUUAAAAAAUGUUGGCACGUUUUUGGAGAUUUACUUACAAGUGAAGUGUUGAGCGCAAUAAAUAAUAAAGUUGUUCCUGAUGGUUGGAAUGAUACUGUGAUAGUUCUAAUACCUAAAGUGGAUUCCCCAGAAAAUAUAUCACAGUAUAGGCCUAUCAGUUUAUGCAAUGUCUUGUAUAAAAUCAUCUCUAAAAUGAUUGCUUUUCGUUUAAAGGCUAUUUUGGAUGAAGUAAUAUCUCCUGUCCAGAGUGCUUUUGUACCUAGGAGAUCAAUUUCUGACAACAUUCUCAUCGCCUAUGAAAGUAUGCAUACUAUAAAAAACAAGAAGAAGGGCAAGAUAGGAUAUUGUGCAGUAAAGCUUGAUAUGCACAAGGCAUAUGACCGCGUUGAAUGGAUCUUUUUGGAAAGAAUGUUGAGUAGGCUCGGCUUUCAUGGUGAUUUUAUUGACUUGUUGAUGGCUUGUGUCAGUUCAGUUAAAUAUAGAAUCAGAUUUAAUGAUCAAGAGACAAAUAUGUUUGUGCCAAGCAGGGGCCUCCGUCAGGGGGACCCGUUAUCACCUUAUUUGUUUCUCUUAUGUGCAGAAGGGCUUUCAAGUGCUCUAGCUCAACAAGAGGAGGUUCGUGGCAUAGAGGGUGUUCGGGUGUGCAGAAAUGCACCAUCAGUAUCUCAUUUAUUAUUCGCUGAUGAUUCCCUUAUACUCAUGAAGGCAGAUAUGAUUAAUGCAACCUCAUUGAGAUCAGUGCUUGAUGCUUAUUGUGCUAAUUCAGGCCAGCUUAUUAGUGAAGCCAAAUGCAGUAUUUUUAGUCCAAAUGUUGAUGUGGAAAUAAAAGCCCAGAUGUGUACUGAACUUAAUAUCCACACUGAAGCAAUUUCUGAAAAGUACCUGGGCCUACCCUCUAUGGUGGGGCUGGAUAAAAGUGAUAGUUUUGUUUAUUUGCUUGAAAGGAUCAUUGAAAGAUUGAAGGGAUGA
rnacentral:rRNA from 1 species